CUUGUGUUUUACAGCACUUGAGAGGUUCUGAGUCUUAUCUUCUUUUUUGAUCGGCGUCUUCUUCUCUUCUUGAGACACAGAAACAGGAAGAUGUUUAGUAGUGGUGAAGUGAAGAAAUGGGUAUGGGAUUCAAGAGAAAUGUUGAGCAUGCUAAUGGUGCAAGUGUUCGCCACGGGACUCCAACUGUUAUCUAGGGUUAUUCUCAUCGAGGGCACCUUCAUUUUUGCUCUCAUGUCCUACCGCCAUGUCGUGGGUGCUAUCUGUGUUGUUCCUUUGGCUUUCUUCUGUGAAAGAGGCAAAGAAAAGAAAUUGACUUGGAAAAUUGCCUUCUGGCUCUUCAUGAAUGCAUUAACUGGGUAAGCCAUAUUUGUUUGUUUGUUUGUUUAUUACUAUUUAUCUCUAAAUAAAAUUGUUUUUUUGUUUUGUUUUUUUCGUGUGCGUGCACUAAGAUGUUACAAGUCAGUAAGUAAUACACUCCAGCCUUCAACAUGUUUUCAAAUAUUAAAUUUUGUUCUGCAAACUUCGAAACAUAAUCACUUGAACAACGCUUAAAUCUCGUAUAAAAUAAUUAAUGGGCUUUGAUUACUG